rnacentral:rRNA from 1 species
AUUUAUUGGGCGUAAAGCGCGCGCAGGCGGACUUUUAAGUAUGAUGUGCAAGCCCCCGGCUUAACCGGGGAGGGUCCUUGGAAUCUGGAAGACUGGAGUGCAGCCGAGGAGAGUGGCACUCCACGAGUUGCGGCGAAACGCGUAGGUAUGUGGAGGAACACCAGUGGCGAAGGCGACUCUCUGGUCUGUAACUGACGCUGAGGCGCGAAAGCGAGGGGAGCAAACAGGAUUAGAUACCCUGGUAGUCCACGCCGUAAACGAUGAGUGCUAAGUGUUAGGGGGUUUCCGCCCCUUAGUGCUGCAGCUAACGCAUUAAGCACUCCGCCUGGGGAGUACGACCGCAAGGUUGAAACUCAAAGGAAUUGACGGGGGCCCGCACAAGCGGUGGAGCAUGUGGUUUAAUUCGAAGCAACGCGAAGAACCUUACCAGGUCUUGACAUCCUUUGGCCACUCUGGAGACAGAGCUUUCCCUUCGGGGACAAAGUGACAGGUGGUGCAUGGUUGUCGUCAGCUCGUGUCGUGAGAUGUUGGGUUAAGUCCCGCAACGAGCGCAACCCUUGAUUUUAGUUGCCAGCAUUUAGUUGGGCACUCUAAAGUGACUGCCGGUGCAAGCCGGAGGAAGGUGGGGAUGACGUCAAAUCAUCAUGCCCCUUAUGACCUGGGCUACACACGUGCUACAAUGGAUAGUACAAAGGGUCGCGAAGCCGCGAGGUGGAGCUAAUCUCAUAAAACUAUUCUCAGUUCGGAUUGUAGGCUGCAACUCGCCUACAUGAAGCCGGAAUCGCUAGUAAUCGUGGAUCAGCAUGCCACGGUGAAUACGUUCCCGGGCCUUGUACACACCGCCCGUCACACCACGAGAGUUUGUAACACCCGAAGUCGGUAGGGUAACCUUUAUGGAGCCAGCCGCCGAAGGUGGGACAGAUAAUUGGGGUGAAGUCGUAACAAGGUAGCCGUAUCGGAAGGUGCGGCUGG